AGGUAAUCAGCAAUCAUAAAAUGAAAAACGAAUGUACAACAGAGCUGACGUUUUUUUUUUCUCUUUGACAACUUUGGGAUUUAAAAUGAUGAGAAUGUGGCGAUUUUAACUAUUUGUCGUUUCCAUUUCCUAUAUGUAUGUAAUGUGCAUUGUGUUUGGGAACUUACACAAGCUGGACAAACACCUUGACAGUUAGAACUUCGUCUAGCUUGGCAUGAAUGUUUAGAAACUGUUCGGAUUAAAUAUCUAAGAGAGGAAACUACUACUAAGUAUAUGAUGUGAAUUUCAUGCAUGGAUGACAAGGAUGCAUUUAUGAGGAUAGCACAUUGUUUAUUUUACUAGUGGGUGACCAUAUAAAGAAGACUUUCUACAACUUUGCCAUUUUGCAUUCUUAAUAUGAUUCACACUACAGACUAUAGUUUUCAAUUGCCUCUAUGUGCAUGUAGAAGCUAAUAGGAAUCCUUAUAAAUGAAAAUAUAUGUUUGAGAGUGGCUCAUGCUUCUUUGUUAUCCUUGUGAAGAAUAUGCUAUGGUCUUGGUGGUGUGAGAAUUUAAUUUUCUUUGUUCUUCAUCCUCAUGAACUUGUCUCAGCAUUAUGAUUCAAGUGAAAAGCAAUUUUGUUGGAUA
rnacentral:misc_RNA from 1 species